rnacentral:rRNA from 1 species
AACGAACGCUGGCGGCAUGCCUAACACAUGCAAGUCGAACGAACCCUUCGGGGUUAGUGGCGCACGGGUGCGUAACGCGUGGGAACCUACCAUCAGGUUCGGAAUAACAGUUAGAAAUGACUGCUAAUACCGGAUAAUGUCUUCGGACCAAAGAUUUAUCGCCUUUUGAUGGGCCCGCGUAAGAUUAGGUAGUUGGUGGGGUAAAAGCCUACCAAGCCGACGAUCUUUAGCUGGUCUGAGAGGAUGAUCAGCCACACUGGGACUGAGACACGGCCCAGACUCCUACGGGAGGCAGCAGUGGGGAAUAUUGGACAAUGGGCGAAAGCCUGAUCCAGCAAUGCCGCGUGAGUGAUGAAGGCCUUAGGGUUGUAAAGCUCUUUUACCAGGGAUGAUAAUGACAGUACCUGGAGAAUAAGCUCCGGCUAGCUCCGUG